UUCUUCUACCUGGCCCAUGAUGAUGUAAUUUAAACCUAGAAAGGAGAGAAUGAGAUUACAAGACAGAAAAAUGCGACAUCAUUUGUACAAUUUGAUACUACUUUUAACGAGUCAUUUUCAAAUACUGGACAAGCUGAACUGAAAAUCUUCUAGCCAAAAUCUGAAUUUCCAGCUCUCUGACACUCCCAGGUGAGUAGCAGGAAUAGUUAAUGCCCUAAGAACUAGAUUUUGAUCUGUUUGAGGCCUGAUACAAACUUACUUAUUUCAGAUGAUUUGUAGUUACAGAUUUGACUAUUGUAUGUCCCAAAGACCUCUCAGUAUGAAAAUCAAGAUACUUGCUUUUCCCUAGGAUGACUAAACUGGUGUCUCAGCUCUGUCUGUUCCAGUGGCCUGAGAGAAUGGGAUGUUACUCAAGAUUUGUGUGGCAUCUUACAUCUGUCACUGCUGUGGCCAUACAGCCCCAGUAGAACACCUGAAGUACCACAAUAUUAUAUUACAGUUACACUCCUGAGGGAGGGGGUGGCCUUUUAUUGGAAAUUACUGCACUGUGAUCAACGGGAUCAGAGUUCAAAUUCCUGACCUAUUUUUCCCAAAUUUUUUACAUAGCUUCAUGUCAGGUAGUGUUGCAUAGUUUUUCUUCAUGACAUUUUGAAACACAAUGUCUGAAAUAUGUCUUAAACAUUAGGGAUUGACAUUUCCUUUCUUAAAUGGAAUGCUUUGUUUAUAAACAGCUGAAUACAACUUGAAUACAUCUUUUUCCUACUUGGGUGGAUAUUCAUAGUCUCUGUACAUAAUUCCAUGUAGCAUGUUGGGAUGCAGUACUUUAAGGUUUUUAUGUUCUUUUCAAAUUUGUUUGGAAUUAGUGACACAGGUAUUGGAAACAUGGAGGUGACACUGACAGAUUAAAAAAACCCAAAAAACACAGAUCCCUACAUAGCCUUAAUUUCCAAGAAAAACUAGUUAUGACAAGUAUCUUUGCAGUUUUUUACUUUAGAAUGGAACAUUUUGCAAAAGUUUUAUUCAGCUUAUAUUUUUUGAAAAAUACCUUCUAACUUUCAAUUAGUAAUUUGAAUAACUUUCCAAGUUUCUAAGAAUGAACUAAAUUAUAUUGAAAUUACUUUGUCUUUAUUGCAAUGGGCAUGACUGUUAGAAGAUCUGCAAUGCUCCUUGUUUUGCCUUUCAAAUCCAAAGUUUAAAGGUUGAGCCUCAUAGGUUUUUAUUUAUUUUGGGCUGGUUUGUUCCUUUUUUUAAAUCCAGUCUUCUUGGUAUUUGAGUCUUUAGACGGUUAAAUGCUUCCCACAGUGCAAAGUGUUUUAAAGAACAAGUUGUUAUGUCAAUGGUACGGGUCUGGCAAUGCUUCCUAUCUCAAUGCUACACACAGCACACCAAAAAUUAAGAAUUUAAUGUUCCUUGAGUCUUUCAAGUUAGUGUUCAUAGUAGGAGGUUUGGAAAUCCAGCAGGUAGAUGAGUCCUAGGUGCAUACCAGCAUGGUAGCUGCCAAAAAUUUAUUGAGGUGCUCUGAUUUUUUGAAAUUUAAAACUGGGAUUAUGCGUUACAAAAUAGUCUUAUUUGGUCUUUUUUUUUAGUUUAGUUUAAUAAAUUUUGGUUGGUAACCAACUUUGCUAUGACUUGUCAGCAGAGGCUGUCUAUUGUUUGUAAGGUACUUCAGCAAAACAUGAACUGGAGAAGAACUGAAAUAAAAGUUUAGUUGCCUAUCACUUUACAUGUAGGCACACUGACAUGAAAAUACACAAGUUUAUCCAAUGAUAUAAGGAAGUCAAAUACCUCACCACAGAUACUGGAUUAAUCUUCAUUACUUUUACAAAUAUAUUUAUAGCAUUUAUUUAUUUCUUCAAGUACUAAUAUUUUUAUGUUACAUAAAGACUGAUGUAAUUUUUGAAAGGGCCUAUAAAAUUUAAUAUUUUAUUCAUGCCUGGAGUUCUGUGCAAGUUUAAACAGAACUGAUUUGCAAGAUAAUAAGAUGAGUCUCUUUGAACUGGACACUUCUGAAUGCAAAUGAUUGCUCAGAAAUGUCACUGAACUGUAGAGGUUUGGUUUGCUUUGGUUUGUUUUGAAGAUCAGAAAUGCCUACACUGUGCAAAACUGAUCACUCCUUGAAAGGACUUCUUAUUUCUGUCUGCCUGACAAGUCCUUUGGAACACUUUGCCUCUGUUGUUCUUUCUCAGAUGAAUCUUCAUGAUCUUCACGUUUUUAUUUUCUAACACUGAUGCUGUCAUGAAAAUUGAUUUGGAUUUAAUUGGUAGAGUUCACCUCUCUUGCCUGUGCAAAACCCUGAACAAGAUUAUUGACAGCCUGGGUUACUUGAGACCAAGUGUUUGAACCAACAACGUCAUUGAUGAGUGCUUUAGAGUGAAGAAGAGCUGAAUUAUUUAUUGUUAGAGUCACAUCAGAAUGAUUUACAGAUCACUAUGAUUUCAUUUUUUUAAUGUUUAUUUUAAUCUAUUUUAAAUACCUUCAUUAGCAGUAUUAAAGCACCACAGCUCCUUGGUUUCCUGCAGACAAGCCAUUCCUGGCCUGAUUUUUGAUGUGUUUUAAGUACAAAUCAGGUUAUGUCUUGCAGAAACAUCAUAAAUAAUUUUGUUUUCUGCUAUAAUUGUAUCUGAAAUGCCUCACAUUCAGGUUAUAGAAAUUCUAAGAAUUUAUCCCUUCAAUAUCUCAGUAAUGAGGUAUUUUUGGCAACACCUUCAGAGAAAUCCAGCUCUGAUCUUUCAUAUAUGCUGUCUAGUCUUAAAUAUAAAAGGAGACUUAUUUUUAGUGAGACACAUUUCUCUGUAAGUUCCCAUCCCUGAAUAUUUUCAAAUAAAAAUUAUUCUAGAAGAGUGUCAUAUUGACAGGGUGUUGACAGAGCCUGAAGAGGGCUCAGGUGGCUUCCAUAUGAAUUUUGCUUAAUCUUAAUAACUAUUUGAAGAAGAAUACAAUAACAUCUUUACAUAUCAACUUUAUAGAAGAAUGAGUUCCUUUAAAUAAAAUUAUUUCCCAAAAUAUUCAGAACUUAUUUAUUAAAAAAAACACUUCAAAAUAAAUUAGUUUAUCCGUUCUUCUACAGAAUGUGCUAGUUAACUGUCCAAAAUUGAAAAGAGACAGGGAAGUUCUCUCAGGUGGAGUAAGUUACUUUUACACUGAACUCUUGCCUGGAUAGAUUUCCUUUAAUGAUGUUAAAUGGAUUCUCUCUUGAGUAUAUUCCAGUACUCCCUGAGUAUAUUAAUUUUAAUUAAUUCAUUCAACAUUUAAAAUACUAACAAACUGUAAAACUUGUAUUUUUAAUACAAUUUCUAUUUCGUAUUUCUGUAACUCUCUCCUUGUCCUGGAAUAAUUAAUUUUUAUAGGAAAUGAAAUAAAACCAGUAAG